UCAACUUCACCUCUGUGUUUCAGGUGACAUUACGUGACUCACAGCCAGUUAUAUUGGUCAACAGUCACUGUUCCUGUGUAGCUGGAUGUGGAAUGUGCAACCACUUGGUUGCUUUGUUAUAUCAAACAGCCCAUUACUCUGUAAGUGGUAUGUCAGUCGUACCUCCAGUCCUUGCUUGUACACAAACCGAACAGAAGUGGCAUAAACCCCGAUCAUUGGGAGUGAAGCCAGGACCUGUCGACACCAUGGUUGUCAGAAAGGCCAAACCAGGUGCUACCACAGCCAGUGGAAUUAGAUCUAAACUUUACAAGGGCUACAGUGGUGAUCUCCCAGUCCCAUCCACACUCAACCCUGGACCUGCCUAC